rnacentral:rRNA from 1 species
GACGAACGCUGGCGGCGUGCUUAACACAUGCAAGUCGAGCGGAAAGGCCCUUCGUGGUACUCGAGCGGCGAACGGGUGAGUAACACGUGAGUAACCUGCCCCAGACUUUGGGAUAACCCUCGGAAACGGGGGCUAAUACCGGAUACGACACAGCUUCGCAUGGGGUCUGUGUGGAAAGUUUUUCUGUUUGGGAUGGGCUCGCGGCCUAUCAGCUUGUUGGUGGGGUGAUGGCCUACCAAGGCGACGACGGGUAGCCGGCCUGAGAGGGCGACCGGCCACACUGGGACUGAGACACGGCCCAGACUCCUACGGGAGGCAGCAGUGGGGAAUAUUGCACAAUGGGCGGAAGCCUGAUGCAGCGACGCCGCGUGAGGGAUGACGGCCUUCGGGUUGUAAACCUCUUUCAGCAGGGACGAAGCGUAAGUGACGGUACCUGCAGAAGAAGCGCCGGCCAACUACGUG